rnacentral:rRNA from 1 species
UACAGGGGGUGCAAACGUUGCUCGGAAUCAUUGGGCGUAAAGCGCACGUAGGCGGUUCGUUAUGUCGGAUGUGAAAGCCCCUUGGCUUAACCGAGGAAGUGCAUCCGAAACUGGCGAGCUAGAGUACGAAAAGAGGAUCGCGGAAUUCCCGGUGUAGAGGUGAAAUUCGUAGAUAUCGGGAGGAACACCGGUGGCGAAGGCGGCGAUCUGGGUCGAUACUGACGCUGAGGUGCGAAAGCGUGGGGAGCAAACAGG